GACGAACGCUGGCGGCGUGCCUAAUACAUGCAAGUCGAGCGCAGGAAGCCGUCCGAACCCUUCGGGGGAACGACGGUGGAAUGAGCGGCGGACGGGUGAGUAACACGUAAAGAACCUGCCCAUAGGUCUGGGAUAACCACGAGAAAUCGGGGCUAAUACCGGAUGUGUCAUCGGACCGCAUGGUCCGCUGAUGAAAGGCGCUCCGGCGUCGCCCAUGGAUGGCUUUGCGGUGCAUUAGCUAGUUGGUGGGGUAACGGCCCACCAAGGCGACGAUGCAUGGCCGACCUGAGAGGGUGAUAGGCCACACUGGGACUGAGACACGGCCCAGACUCCUACGGGAGGCAGCAGUAGGGAAUCUUCCACAAUGGACGAAAGUCUGAUGGAGCAACGCCGCGUGAACGAUGAAGGCUUUCGGGUCGUAAAGUUCUGUUGUAAGGGAAGAACAAGUGCCGCAGGCAAUGGCGGCACCUUGACGGUACCCUGCGAGAAAGCCACGGCUAACUACGUGCCAGCCCCGCAGUAAUAC
rnacentral:rRNA from 1 species